UGGGGAAUUUUGGACAAUGGGGGAAACCCUGAUCCAGCCAUCCCGCGUGUGCGAUGAAGGCCUUCGGGUUGUAAAGCACUUUUGGCAGGAAAGAAACGUCGCGGGUUAAUACCCCGCGAAACUGACGGUACCUGCAGAAUAAGCACCGGCUAACUACGUGCCAGCAGCCGCGGUAAUACGUAGGGUGCAAGCGUUAAUCGGAAUUACUGGGCGUAAAGCGUGCGCAGGCGGUUCGGAAAGAAAGAUGUGAAAUCCCAGAGCUUAACUUUGGAACUGCAUUUUUAACUACCGGGCUAGAGUGUGUCAGAGGGAGGUGGAAUUCCGCGUGUAGCAGUGAAAUGCGUAGAUAUGCGGAGGAACACCGAUGGCGAAGGCAGCCUCCUGGGAUAACACUGACGCUCAUGCACGAAGGCGUGGGGAGCAAACAGGAUUAGAUACCCUGGUAGUCCACGCCCUAAACGAUGUCAACUAGCUGUUGGGGCCUUCGGCCUUGGUAGCGCAGCUAACGCGUGAAGUUGACCGCCUGGGGAGUA
rnacentral:rRNA from 1 species